rnacentral:lncRNA from 1 species
UUUUUUCUCGUCUCAAGACGUGGAGAGUGAUAGGUCUCGAGUUCGAAUCCUUUAUUACAGUGUAACUUUCUUAUUAGCAAAGGAAAAGGCAGUUUAUUGUACUUAUAGCCUGAGAAAAUAAAAUAAAAUUCUAACUAUAGGCAUGGGGAUUUGCCAAGGAAAAUAAAAUAAAAUUCUCACUAUAGGCAUGUGGAUUUGCCAAAGAAAAUACAAUAAAAUUCUAACUAUAGGCAUGGGGAUUUGCCAAGGAAAAUAAAAUAAAAUUCUCACUAUAGGCAUGUGGAUUUGCCAAAGAAAAUACAAUAAAAUUCUAACUAUAGGCAUGGGGAUUUGCCAAGAGGUAGGCCUCAACAGCCUUGAAAAUUUGCAAGGAUUUUUCUUUGCCAGCCUUAAUCUCCUCCUGUU